rnacentral:lncRNA from 1 species
CAGAAGGAGGACCCACUUGCUGUAACAGAGAGGGUAAGAGAGUGAGAGGGUUCACCAGGGGGUAGGUAGAUGGGGGUUAACACUGAUGGUCAGGCAUCUCUUAUCCCACUUCCUGGUUCAGCGGUGAAUUCUGCUGCACAUUAACGCCGUCGUGCUGUCCAGCGGGAAGGGAACAUGGCCGCCCCCUGCCGGCCCUCACUCUCGGUGCCAUCUUCCUCACCGCUGCUCGAAAACAGGAAGCGAGGAGCCGGCCCCACUCUCUGCCCGUUGAGGGUGUCGCAGUGAUGAGCACAGUGCCUCUCGGCGCUGGGGCCCAGCGCGCCGGUCCCUGGGGGGGGGGCGUCUGUGCGGAGUCUGCACGUUCCUCCCGUGUUCACAUGGGUGCGCUCUGGGUGCUCUCGUUUCCUCCCAACAUAUACUGGGAGGUUAAUGGACAGUCAUGGGUUACUGACAGUGAGGGUGUUAGUGGUGAUGAUGGUGUUAUCGGUGAUGAUGGUGUUACUGACAGUGAGGGUGUUAUUGGUGAUAAUGGUGUUAUUGACAGUGAGAGUGUUAUUGACAGGGAGGGUGUUAUUGACAGGGAGGGUGUUAUUGAUGAUGAUGGUGUUACUGGUGAUGAUGGUGUUAUUAGUGAUGAUGGUGUUACAGACAGUGAGGGUGUUAUUGGUGAUGAUGGUGUUAUUGACAGUGAGGGUGUUAGUGACGAUGGUGUUACUGACAGUGAGAGUGUUAUUGACAGUGAGGGUGUUAUAGGUGAAGAUGGUGUUAUUAGUCAUGAUGGUGUUACUGACAGUGAGGGUGUUAUUGGUGAUGAUGGUGUUAUUAGUGAUGAUGGUGUUACUGACAAUGAGGGUGUUAUUGGUGAUGAUGGUAUUACUGGUGAUGAUGGUGUUACUGACACUGAUGGUGUUAUGGGUGAUGAUGGUGUCAUACAGGCUGAUGAUCAGAUUCUGUUAUGCACUCAUCUGCUGUAGAGCUGUGCUCCACUGCCCUGUCUACAGAUGCCCUGGGCUUCGUAUUUCUGGAUUUGGCGAUCAGAAUCAGCACAGAGUGGCGCACGAGGAGACACGAAGAGAGAAACCGAGGCAGCAGAGGACUGGGCAAAGGGCAUCAACAGAAAUCCCGUUUUACUCCUGCUGAGCUCUCGGGCAAGCCAGAGCUGACGUACCGCGUCUCCGUAUUCGGGCGUGUUGAAAAUCAAAUCACCAACAACUCGCCGAUCACUUCCGAUCGCGUCUCAGUGAGGAGAACCGCCACGCCCGGAGAAAAGGACACCCCAGCGCAGCUGAAACUGCUCACUAAAACUCUGUGGUUUCCCACGGGUGCUGUGGGAGAGACGUCGUCCGGGCUCUGGGAGCUCAGGUGUCUGCUCCUGAAUCAUUUCAGCUCAGUCACUCUAGGGGGUCAGUCUGCCCACGAAGACAAAAUGAAAACUAACCCCCCUCCCCCACCCCCCAAGACUGUCCUCCUUGCCCUGUCCGUCCUGAAACCCCCUCCCCCGGCCUCACGAAAGCCCCAGUGAGACUCCAGCUUCUGCCUCCCACCUCCUGACUGCAAAUCUCCCAUCAGGCCUCUCUCCAUUGCCAAUUCGAUUUAAUCCCCUGCUCAUCUUCAUCCGGGGAAGAAGAGAGAGAGUCAGGGGGUGGGAGAGGGAGGGACAGGGGAGAGGCGGGGGUGAGGAGGGGAGGAGAGGCGGUGGUUCUGACUGCACUGAUGUUUCGUUCCAUCGGCACGUCAGGUAGUCAUGACAUUUACUGUCAGUGUCUUUCAUUCACUAUAUUUACACCACACUGAGAGAGAGAGGGGUUAAUACACACACACUGACACUGAUUCUCUGUGAUCUCCUCUCUCUCACUGUGUCUCCUGUCCUCUUGUGUGUGUUUAUUACUGAGGGAUUCUCUGUGAUCUCCUCUCUCUCUCUCACUGUGUCUCCUGUCCUGUUGUGUGUGUUUAUUACUCAGGGAUUCCCUGCUGUAUCUCUCUCAGUCUGUCCUUCUCUACUGUGUUUGUAGUAUUAGUUGAUUGUCUGAUAACUCUCUUUGUUCUCCAAAUCGUCCCUCUCGUUGUCUGUCUUGAUUACUCAGCAGUAUGCAAAAAGGAGACUUCUUUCUCAUUUACAUUCUUCCAAACCAAUUAUUCACUUUUUGACUUUCUUGACCUCUAAGAUUGUAGUUUCCCCUCUCUCUCUCUCAUUAAUGUACUGUCGAAACACCCAGUGUGUCUGUAUGAACCCCCCUCUCUCUCAGUGCAGUGUUAAUGUACUGGAGU